rnacentral:rRNA from 1 species
AGCGACGUUAGCGGCGCGCCUAACACAUGCAAGUCGCACGAGAAAGGGAGCAAUCCCCGGUACAGUGGCGCACGGGUGAGUAACACGUAGAUGACCUUCCCUGGAGUGGGGGAUAACCUUCCGAAAGGAGGGCUAAUACCGCAUGAGACCACGAGGUCGAGAGGCCAUGAGGUCAAAGCCGGCCACUUCACGAAAGCUGGCGCUUGAGGAUGAACCUGCGGCCCAUCAGCUAGUUGGUAGGGUAACGGCCUACCAAGGCAAAGACGGGUAGCUGGUCUGAGAGGAUGAUCAGCCACACUGGAACUGAGACACGGUCCAGACUCCUACGGGAGGCAGCAGUGGGGAAUCUUGCGCAAUGGGCGAAAGCCUGACGCAGCGACGCCGCGUGGGUGAUGAAGGCCUUCGGGUUGUAAAGCCCUGUGGAGGGGGACGAAUAAGUCGGAGUUAAUACCUCGCGAUGAUGACGGUACCCCUUUAGCAAGCACCGGCUAACUCUGUG